UUAAAUACACUUCAAAUGUAAAUUAUUUUGAAAUAACUAAAUAAUUUUCCUACACCUUCUCCUUCAGUAGUAUCCUUGUUUUCACUACGGCUAACCAAAUCAUCCUCUUUACCUAAACUCCCUCCUCUCUCCGUUGUUGUUAUUCCACUACAAAUAUGGCUGCUGAUCCUGUUGCUGAUGCUAAUAUGGAUGCUGUCCAACGCCGUCUCAUGUUUGAGGACGAUUCUGUUCUAUCUUUAUUUUGUUUGUAGCUUUGGAUAUACUACUUGUUUUAUCACUAUCAUUUCUAAAUUCCUCUUUUUAACUGAAAGUUAAGGUAAGUUUUACAUUUGCUAGAUAGG
rnacentral:lncRNA from 1 species